AGUCAAUAACCUAUUUAAAAAAAAGGAAAAAAAAAGGGAUGGUUGCUCUUUAAGUUUACUAACGUGGUUCACUAGGUCAACAGUUAAUGUGCUUAAAAAAUAUAUAAAAAAAUAUCAUAAAUAAAGUUAGUUGCAAAACACUGUCAUAAUUAUAUAAUUUACAGCAUAUUAUUUAAAUAUGACAUGAUUUCCCAUACUACGAUAAAUGCUAGCUAACUUUUGCUUUGCGUUUUAAUGUUCUGAUCUAUAUAGCAAUGGCAUACACAAUGUCCUCUCAAUCAAAUAUGGACAAAGUGCAAAUAUGAGUAACCACUAUCCUCCCAUUGAAAUAAAUAUGUCAUUUUCUGCAUAUUGUUUUGCGGAACACAGACGUUCUAGAACACUUUUCAGCCCUCUGUAUUAAACAACUGUCUCUGUGUUACAAUGCUGCAUGUUCCAUGUUAUCUGACAGAAUGCACAACAAAAACUGACUUGCCCAGUACUGACUUGCAUUGUUCACGAGCCUCACAUCUAGAGUCCAAGUCAAGUCUCAAGUCAAUUGGUCACGAGUCUAAGUCAAGUCGCAAGUCAUUUAAUUUGCGACUUAAGUGCGACUUGAGUCGAGUCUCAGACUCAAGUUUCCAUCUCUGUGUCAUGUCAGUCAGACAUUUAUGGGGGGUGAUAAGAGACUUAAUUAACCCUAGGCAACCAAAAUCUUCUUUACACUCUCUUUGGAUAAUUCAUUCCAAUCAUUUUAAAGUUAACAGCAGGUAUUUUGCAUGUAAGUUUAAGUAUUUUGAUAUCUUCACAAAUCUACAAAACAGCCGUUUUACAUCCUGGCACAAAAUGUAUUUGGGAAAAUCUACAGAUAUAAUUUCUUCUUUUUUUUUACCUGAAAAUCAAACAGAGCAGUACUUCCAACGUCGGCAUUAAUUAAGCCUAGGCAACCGUAAAACCGUGUGCCUGCCUUACUAACGUCUGUGUGACGCCUGCGUGUAAUGUUAACUAACAUGUCGUCAUACCAACUCCUUACUAACGUCUGCAUUUUAAUGAAUCUCAACCAUAAUGUUAGAAACCCACCGUUUUUCCAGUGCAAGCCGACAUUCCGAAGUAGCCUCCGAGUGUAGCCUACGUCUUGUGUAUUUCCUGUUAUUGCUAAUUGCCUAGAAAAUAUUAUGUCCAAUCUAUAGGUAAUCUGUCUUUCCCUCAACACCUCAUGGCAUUGUAUGUUAUCUUAUCUCACUAUAUACAGAUCGAAAUGUUGUUAGCUAAUCUCAAACUGUGUUGUUACCAGUUCCCAAUAGCCUACAUCAGACAACCAAUAAGAGUUGUGUGCGUGGCUUUCAGUCGAAUAGAGGAGUUCAUAGGCCUUCCCAGAGGGUCUGUGCUAUUUGGGGUCCUUGGGAUGUCCCUACCUCUAUCAAGUACAAAUGUAAAAUGGUUAAGUUUAGUGUUAGUUUAGAGGUUUAGGGUUCAGGGUAAGGACGUCUCAAGGAAUCCGGAUAGCAGUGACCGGUCAUAGAGUGAGAGACAGGCACGGUAUUUGAGAGCUCGGCGGCAACACAGACGUUCAUUUGAAAAAUUAUUUUUUUACAAGCAGCAGAUAGUUUCCUUAGAGACGAUGAAAAGAAUUACCAAGAUGUCCUUGAUCCAAUUGAGAAUCAAGAAAUGAUGAGCCAGAGCAACCAAUCAGCAUCACUGCAAUUGUUCUACCCACCACCCACACUGCUCUCCCUUGACAAGCAACCACAUCCUCUUCUCCUGUUCAACUAAUUUGCCGCCACACUGAGAAGGACUGUACAUACAUACCUCUGUGCCCAUCUCAUUGCAACAUGAUCCAUCCAAGGCCAAAGCUGGACGCUUAAAAUGUGAGAAAUGUAAACAAGAUGCUACAGUAGUGUGUCUGUCUGUAUGUGUGUAUGGAUGGAGUUCCAAGAAAAUACAUGAGAAGAUGUCAAAGGAGAUAGUAAUGAGAGUGGGAGCAUACAGUAUGAAAAUAAAGACCCCUUGGGAUCUAAAAUGAGUGUGGGGUGACCUCUUGUAUCUCCUUUUUGUCCGUUUGAGGAUACUAUAGUCGCCCCCUGGUGGAGAUUCUUGGAACACUGCGAUUUAAGUCUGAGCAGAGGUUGACGAAAACCUUCAAAGGUGUUGGUGCUAUGUUGAGUGUUAUCUUGAAUACCAGGCAGAUGUGUGAGUAAAGAAUGAAAUGGUGUAAACUUAACAGGCUAAACUUGCUGAGUACACUUUUUGAGAAAUGGG
rnacentral:lncRNA from 1 species